rnacentral:misc_RNA from 1 species
UGCAUCAUGCCGUAGUUGCCCUUGCUGACGGCGCGUGGAUUGUAGCGGCUCUCGCGCACGAUCACGCGAUGCACGAGUUCCGCGGGAACGCCGUUUGCGGCGGCGUGACUCGCAACCAUGGAUUCGUAGUUGGCGCGCUGCGCGCUGGCGGGAUGAAUCAGCAUCAUCGCCGCGGCUGCGGCGAGCAGGAAUCGUUUCAUGAUGUAAAUCCUCAGCGAUG